rnacentral:tRNA from 1 species
GCGGGAGUAGUUCAGUGGUGGAACGCAAGCUUCCCAAGCUUGAUGUCGCGGGUUCGAGUCCCGUCUCCCGCUCCA